UACGUAGGUGGCGAGCGUUGUCCGGAUUUACUGGGCGUAAAGAGCGCGCAGGCGGUCGUUCAAGUCGCGUGUGAAAGCCCCCGGCUCAACUGGGGAGGGUCACGCGAUACUGAUCGACUCGAAGGCAGGAGAGGGAAGUGGAAUUCCCGGUGUAGUGGUGAAAUGCGUAGAUAUCGGGAGGAACACCAGUGGCGAAGGCGACUUCCUGGCCUGUUCUUGACGCUGAGGAGCGAAAGCGUGGGGAGCGAACAGG
rnacentral:rRNA from 1 species